UGCGCAGGCGGUGAUGUAAGACCGAUGUGAAAUCCCCGGGCUUAACCUGGGAACUGCAUUGGUGACUGCAUCGCUCGAGUAUGGCAGAGGGGGUAGAAUUCCACGUGUAGCAGUGAAAUGCGUAGAGAUGUGGAGGAAUACCGAUGGCGAAGGCAGCCCCCUGGGUCAAUACUGACGCUCAUGCACGAAAGCGUGGGGAGCAAACA
rnacentral:rRNA from 1 species